rnacentral:rRNA from 1 species
CGGAGGAAAAGAAACCAACAGGGAUUGCCCCAGUAACGGCGAGUGAAGCGGCAACAGCUCAAAUUUGAAAUCUGGCCCCCAGGGUCCGAGUUGUAAUUUGCAGAGGAUGCUUUUGGCGAGGUGCCUUCCGAGUUCCCUGGAACGGGACGCCAUAGAGGGUGAGAGCCCCGUCUGGUCGGACACCGAGCCUCUGUAAAGCUCCUUCGAAGAGUCGAGUAGUUUGGGAAUGCUGCUCAAAAUGGGAGGUAUAUGUCUUCUAAAGCUAAAUAUUGGCCAGAGACCGAUAGCGCACAAGUAGAGUGAUCGAAAGAUGAAAAGCACUUUGAAAAGAGGGUUAAAAAGUACGUGAAAUUGUUGAAAGGGAAGCGCCUAUGACCAGACUUGGGCCCGGUGAAUCACCCAGCGUUCUCGCUGGUGCACUUUGCCGGGCACAGGCCAGCAUCAGUUUGGCGCGGGGGAGAAAGGCUUUGGGAAUGUGGCUCCCCCGGGAGUGUUAUAGCCCACUGCGCAAUACCCUGCGCCGGACUGAGGUACGCGCAUUGCAAGGAUGCUGGCGUAAUGGUCAUCAGCGACCCGUCUUG